rnacentral:lncRNA from 1 species
UUUUUUUUUUUUUUCUGAGACAGAGUCUCUCUCUGUCACCCAGGCUGGAGUGCAGUGGCGUGAUCUCAGCUCACUGCAACCUCCGCCUCCCAGGUUCAAGAAAUUCUCUGCCUCAGCCUCCCGAGAAGCUGGGAUUACAGGCGCCCACUACCAUGCCCAGCUAACUUUUGUAUUUUUAGGAGAGACGGGGUUUCACCAUCUAGGCCAGGCUGGUCUUGAACUCCUGACCUCAUGAUCCACCGGCCUCGGCCUCCCAAAGUGCUGGGAUUACAGGCGUGAUCCCCAGGCCACCGCACCUGGCUGACUCUUCCCCUUUCUGAUAAGUCCUGGGGUGGCCUUGGGGCAGAUGGUCCCCAGUGGCUGUGCGCACCAGGUUUGCAGAUCGAGGCACCAGCACUGUGCGUGCUGUGACCAGGGGCCUGAGGACCACCCUGCGUUCAGUGUGUGUAACCUCUAAGCAAAGACUUUACCUUUUGCUGGGAGCCCCAUGCAAAUCACAAGCCUCCAGAGGCACUUAUUAAGUGCCUGUUUCUUCUUUAUCUACUUAGAUGCUAGACCAAAGAGCUACAUUCUAAAAUAUCACUAACUGAUUUAUAUCCUGCUCGUUCCCAAAAAGGAUGACAAUAAAACCACAGGUACAGUAUGGCCAGGAACAUUUAACCAAGACAAAGAAGGGGAACAAAGGCAGAGAAUUAUGCUCAACCUCAGCCUUUCAGGAAAGUAAAAUCCAAGAUUUCAUUUUCUAGGUGUCUUUAAAGUUCCCCAAGAUGUAAGGGCAACUUCCUUUUCUUUUUGUAAAGCUCCUCCAGCCCCGUUGGAAAGGCAGCCGGUGCUUUGUGAUAAGCGUGGGAGGCCUGUUCCCACUAAGAGGAAUUAUUCUGUUGCAGCAUGGACUGCUGCAGCCAUGCAGGCUGAGGCUGGCUUUUUUUUGCCCGGUCACUUGACAGCCUUCAGCCCAGCAGCCCUACCCUCUUGGCCGCAGCCACAGAAAGCCUGGGCAGGAUUGUGUUUCUCGGCUGACUCUGCACACUGGUGACAGAUUGUCCAAGCUGUGCCCUGGCCCAGGCUUGCAGAGCUUCCCCAUUUCCCUGUGGAUACAAAGGUGAGCGACCAGAGUGAGCCCCCAUCACAGGCCAUCGUGCCUGGCACCCCGGGACGCCCAGAUGAGCAAGGAACGCUGUGUCCUUGGAGGAGGCAGAUGCAGCCCCAAAUAGUGUUAGGAAGUGAAAGGGGAAGGGAAGGGGGUGAAAAGUGCUGAGUGUGGGCUUUGUGGGGAGCUCCUCUGGUCAGCAGGGUUCCUCCAGGAGCCCAGGGCACAGGGACACCCGGUGGAUGGGGCCACUGUGCCAGCAUCACCUACACAGGAGAAAGGCCAGAGGGGGCCUUGUUUAAGCUCCGUCCCCUUCUAGUGGCUCUCUCUCAACCUUAAAAACAGGAGACGCAAAACCUUCCCUUUGUUUCUACCAAUGGAGCAUAACGAAAUCUGUGAUGAGAGGUAGGGCUCAAGCCAUUCCACAGCUGUGACCUCUUGUUUCAUGGCUCUUGCCUGAAGGCACAGAACGUCGGACUUGAACUUUUGUUCUGCUGUCUGCUCCUCAGCUUAGUUUCUUUGGACUUCUCUGAG